CCCAGGUGUGCCCCAGGUGUACCCAGCUCUAUCCCAGGUGUCCCCAGGUGUGUCCCAGGUGUCCCCAGGUCUGUCCCCAGGUGUGUCCCAGGUGUCCC